rnacentral:rRNA from 1 species
UACGUAGGGCGCAAGCGUUGUCCGGAAUUACUGGGCGUAAAGCGUGCGCAGGCGGUUUUGUAAGACUGUCGUGAAAUCCCCGGGCUCAACCUGGGAAUGGCGAUGGUGACUGCAAGGCUAGAGUUUGGCAGAGGGGGGUAGAAUUCCACGUGUAGCAGUGAAAUGCGUAGAUAUGUGGAGGAACACCGAUGGCGAAGGCAGCCCCCUGGGCCAACACUGACGCUCAUGCACGAAAGCGUGGGGAGCAAACAGG